rnacentral:rRNA from 1 species
AUUGAACGCUGGCGGCAUGCCUUACACAUGCAAGUCGAACGGCAGCAUAGGAGCUUGCUCCUGAUGGCGAGUGGCGAACGGGUGAGUAAUAUAUCGGAACGUGCCCUAGAGUGGGGGAUAACUAGUCGAAAGACUAGCUAAUACCGCAUACGAUCUACGGAUGAAAGUGGGGGAUCGCAAGAACUCAUGCUCCUGGAGCGGCCGAUAUCUGAUUAGCUAGUUGGUGGGGUAAAAGCUCACCAAGGCGACGAUCAGUAGCUGGUCUGAGAGGACGACCAGCCACACUGGGACUGAGACACGGCCCAGACUCCUACGGGAGGCAGCAGUGGGGAAUUUUGGACAAUGGGGGCAACCCUGAUCCAGCAAUGCAGCGUGAGUGAAGAAGGCCUUCGGGUUGUAAAGCUCUUUUGUCAGGGAAGAAACGGUUCUGGAUAAUACCUGGGACUAAUGACGGUACCUGAAGAAUAAGCACCGGCUAACUACGUGCCAGCCGCCGCCGUAA